rnacentral:rRNA from 1 species
UGCAUAAUGGUUUUACUAAGAUNNACCUCAAUAUUGAGGCUCCCGAAUUUAAAAGAUCUAAUGACCCGCAAAUGUAUUAGAACUAAUAUACCUUAUUGUGGCAAAAAUAAUUAAACUAGAGCUCAUUAGUGGUGAAACACCUUCAAUUUUAAGGAUAACUGGAUCUAAGUUAAAUAUAUCUAGUGUAAUUUAGAAAUGUGUAUGGCUAUAAGGUCGUACAUGAAAAAUUUAAUUUAUUGGUGAGUUACUACUAUUUAAUAAUAUUAAGCAGUAGAAGUUAACACUAAAAUUCAUGUAAUAAGAUAAUUUUCUUUUCACUUAGUGUAAAGCAUAAUAUAAAAUAUAUAUUAAUAAUGUAUUAAUAAGUAGUAUACGAAAUAUACUCUAAGGAACUCGACAAGUCUACUAUUCAUCUGUUUAACAAAAACAUAGCCGAAUGGAUUUAUAUUCGGUAUUGUCUGCCCAGUGAAAAUGUUUUAACGGCCGCAGUACCCUGACUGUGCAAAGGUAGCAUAAUCAUUUGGCUUUUAAUUGAAGUCUUGUAUGAAAGAAAGUAUGAAUAAUAAUUGUCUUAGAGUAUUUUUUAUUAAAUUAUUAAGUGAGUGAAAAUACUCACAUGUUUAUUAUUAGACGAGAAGACCCUUAGAAUUUUAAGAAAUAUAUAUUAUUUAUUUAUUUGCUUUUUGUUGGGGCAACAUUAUUCCAAAUAACAACGAAUAAGAUUCUAAUUGAUGUGUCGAUUUAAUAAUAAAAAAUAAAUUACCUAAGGGAUAACAGCAUAAUUUAAAAUUAAGUUUGUGACCUCGAUGUUGGACUAGGGGAUAUUGCGGCUAAUCGUCUCAAUAGUUUCGUUCUGUUCGAACAUUUCCUCCUACAUGAUCUGAGUUCAGACCGGCGUAAGCCAGGUCAGUUUCUAUCUUUUAUAGAGUAGGUUCUAGUAC